GAGGGCAGAGCUCAGUGGUAGAGCACGUGCUUAGCAUGCAUGAAGUCCUGGGCUCAGUCCUCAGUACUUCCA
rnacentral:tRNA from 1 species